rnacentral:lncRNA from 1 species
CUUCAUAUCAAUUUCAUUAUUAAAGCCAUUACUCUUAAAAUUAUGAUCAGUAUGGAAAUUAUUGAAACUAUACUUCAAUGAGUCAAGUAAGUUACUAUUUCGUUUCAACAUCUCAAAGGUAACUUCUUAUCUAUACAACAUAUCCAAAGUUAACUGUUUGAUAUCUCUAAAGAAGUUAUUGGCACACCUUAAAUUGCCAGAUUGGAUGUCAAGAGUCUUCUCAAUACAAUUGAUUUUCCUAUGAAUCUUGUACGCCAAUUCAUUUAUAUUUGAUAAACUCAAGUUCAAUAAUUCAGACAUGCUCCAAAAAAGGAUUUAGAGCAUUAAUUACUGCUCGAUUAAUCAUAGCAUUCAACAUUUCUUUGUUUACUUUACUACCAGAUACUGAACAUUCAUCUUGGAUGACGUUAGAGUUAUCACCCUGAUAGAGUAUUUCAUUUUGAGUUAUUGUUUCAGAGCCAUUAAUAAAAUUAUAACCUAUUUCUAUAGAAAGGGAUUGUCCUAACUUAGAAUUUCAUCUCUAGUGCAUUGAGAAAAAUCACUUGAACUACAUUUUAGAUACUUAAUUUUCAUCCUUCACUCCUUGUUAUUUAUAUAAAUAGGUUGUUCUUAAUAUACAUGUGCAUUCAAAAUGAAAGUAACAACUACAUCCAUAACAAUAAAAUCCAGUUUCAUUCAAUGCUACAGUUAUAUUGCACACAGAGCAAAGCCCAGUUUUUACACUCACCACUCUUGUUCCUGAUCUUCUUUUCUUUUCUUUUUUGUGAAAAUAUUUGCUCCGAUAAAAGAGGUUGCCAAGUGGAAAAGUUUGAGAAGCUCUGCUUUAAACAACCCUAGUACUGCAACAUAGCUUCUGAGAUGAUGCUAAUAUUAGAGAAAAUUAUUUCAAAUUGUUAAAAUUCGAUUAUAAUCAUCAAGAAUUUAUUUGACAUAUAUUAAGUUCAAUUAUUGCUCUGUGUCUUUAUAAACUCUUUUCAUUUAAAUAAAAAUGUUUUACCUGCCUUUUAUAGUACUUGAUUCUGAAGUAAUGAAGUAAUGUUUCAUUAAUUUUCCAGACAGAAUAAAUAUGUAUUCUUUCUGAAUAAUUAACAAAAUGCUGGAUAAUAAGAUGUAAUUUUUUUAAUUGCCU